ensembl:misc_RNA 7SK 7SK RNA
GGAUGUGAGGGCGAUAUGGCUGCGACAUCUGUCUCCCCAUUGAUCGCCAGAGUUGAUUCGGCUGAUCUGGCUGGCUAGGCAGGUGUCCCCUUCCUCCCUCACUGCUCCAUGUGCGUCUCUCCCGAAGCGUCACGCUUGGUCGGAGAGGACAGCCUUCCCCGAAUAGAGGAGGACCGGUGGUCUUCGGUCAAGGGUAUACGAGUAGCUGCACUCCCGUGCUAGAACCUCCAAACAAGCUCUCAAGGUCUAUUUUUGUUUUUUUUUUAUAAUUUACCAAUGGAUUUAUCAGGACCCAUGCCCAUCAUAAUAAGGAAGGAGCCAUCUAAGUUCAUAAAUU